GACGAACGCUGGCGGCGUGGAUUAGGCAUGCAAGUCGAACGGUAUCAUCCUUUCGGGGGUGAGAGAGUGGCGAACUGGUGAGUAACACGUAGGUUAUCUACCCUCAAGACGGGGACAACCCAGGGAAACUUGGGCUAAUACCGGAUGUGAGCAACUUUUUAGUUGUUUGAAAGGUGGCGUAAGCUGUCGCUUGGGGGAUGAGCCUGCGUCCUAUUAGUUAGUUGGUGAGGUAACGGCUCACCUAGGCAAUGAUAGGUAGGCGGCCUUAACGGGUGGUCGCCCACACUGGGAUUGAGAUACGGCCCAGACUCCUACGGGAGGCAGCAGUCGAGAAUAGUCUACAAUGGUCGGAAGACUGAUAGUGCGACGCCGCGUGAACGAUGAAUCCCUUCGGGGUGUAAAGUUCUUUUAUAUGUGAGCAGUGCUUCUUAUAUUAACAGUAUGGGGAAGAGAUAUUAGCAUAUGAAUAAGCAACGGCUAAACUCCGUGCCAGCAGCCGCGGUAAGCUCG
rnacentral:rRNA from 1 species